AAAGAAGAACGGCUCUUCGCAAAAAGUGCAAGUUGGACGCUUGACGCAUUCCUCCCAUCCUUGCCGUCAUCUUUACAUUUUCUUUUAGUUGCACCACCGCUGCACCGUUCUCCUCCCUUCCUUAUACGCCCCUCCACAACUACACGGGGAGGCACGGCUAUCCCUGCCAAAAGAGGCACACGCGUACACCUCCGCGCUCAGCUAGCAUCGGCUCUACUUUUCCUGUUCAUUCCCCUCUCUUUUCCAUCUCCCCGAAAAGGCGCUGCGCUUCCUACGCUUCGGCAUCCCACUGCCAUUCCUUAUGCACGAAAUGGGGGACCCCAGCUGGCGCCGCGCCUGCGACCUGCUCGCAAAGCAUUUGCAGUCGCUCGGGCAGAAGAUAACGGCUAUACGCCGUAUCACCAAUCGGCGCAGCUCCGUCGAGGAGAUCAAGACGGAGCGCGAGGAGGUGAAGCGCAUCACACGUGACGCCAACGCUACCGAUGUGCAGGACAUUCGCAAGAUCGUAAAGUCAUUUGAGCGGUUCAUCUUACUGGACAAGAGUCUUAGCGACGAGGGCAAGAAGCUUGCCAAAGACGCUGAGAUGGUUCUCAAGGACUACGAGAGGACCUGCAACGACUUCUACCGUAAGUGCAUGCACGGCGAGUCUGCACGGGGCACUCAUAGCAACCGUGCGCUUCGGGCAUUCCGUGAGGCAAGCGAGGAUGAUGAGGAAAAUGAAGGGCAGUCGCUGUUGAACACAGAGUCUCCGCAACGGGUGCAGUUUGAGCGUGACAUGUACGAGGAGCUCAUGCUAGAGCGACAGCGCGAGACAGGCGAGAUUGCGGAGAACGUGCGCGACAUCCAUGAAAUUUUCCAGCACAUCAACGGAAUGGUCAACGAGCAAGGGGAGCAGCUCGAUAUUGUGGAGAAUAACCUCUCCUCCGCAGAGCGCGCCACCCGCAACGCCUCGCAGCACCUGCGCCGCGCGCAGCAGUAUCAAGCAACGUCCUCCCGGAACAAGAUACUCUUCAUAUGCAUGAUGAUCAUGCUUGCCAUCGUUAGCAUCGGUCUGCUCAUGAACUGAGCCGACGAGCCAGCUCCGUUACCAUCGCUGCAUACGCGCUGUUGCCCUCCCCUUCCCGUCCCCGCUGACUCUCUCUGAGCUUUAGCGCCUCGACUGAUUUCCGAUACUUAUUGCGUGUGUCAGCCUCUGCAUUUUCGUUUAUUAUGCGUUAUUGAUCGCUGUCGCUGUGAUUUGGGAGAAGGGACGCUGUUGCACGAUUCACCCUUUCUUACCCGUGCCCGGCAUUUCACCCUCUCUACGACCGCAUGUGCCCUUGCUGCUGCUGUGGACAUAUGUGUAUUGGGGAUUGCCCUGCUUUCCCUUCUUCCAGUUUUGCAUCCUCCCUCCCCCUCCGUGAG
rnacentral:misc_RNA from 1 species